rnacentral:lncRNA from 1 species
GGGCUGAGUCUGAAAGAUGAAAAUCACUGGAGACAAACUGAGCUGGGGUCUAAAAUCCCAUUGCAUAACUUCUGGUGAGAGGGUGGGAGUCAAUUGAAUUCAUGUUAGAAAGCAGCAGUCUGGCCCUGACAUGUGCAAAGGGACCAUUGGGCUGUCUUAAUAGUAAACAUGUAAGGUCUCAGGUGAAGGAGCUGCUAGUACUCUGAGCUGGCCAGUUCACACAUGCAGGACAAAUGUAAUGACCAAGUAGGUGAAAGAAACCAGAAUGCCACAUGGAAGCAGAAAUGGUCAUGAGUUAAUUGUUGUUGAAGCUGGUCAUGGGUAAAUGGAGAUUUGUUACACUAUUCUUUCUGCUUGUAUGAACAUUUUGAAAUUUUCAUAGUAAAAAGUCAAAAAAGACAAUGGAUGAGUUGAUAAAGGAAAGUAUAUUGGCCUGCCUGAGAAGAAAAUUCUUGGGGGAUGAUAGAAUGAGGAAACCAAGAAGGGUAUAUAGAAGCAGAUGAGUGAAAGCCACAAGAAAUCAGAUUUUGGCUCAGCAUAAGGAAGAAUUUUUUUAACAUAGCUGUCAGGUGUGUGAGUCCAUCUAGUCCAGAUAUAGAUGUGGUAUGUCUAGGAUACUGUCUGGGGACUGCAUUGCCAGAGUUAUGCUAAAGGAGAUGGUAAGGACUGGUCAGAUCAUUGAUAUUUGGCCCCUUGAUGACCUGAAGAUAUGUCUUUUUUCUUGCCCUGGUGCCUGAGGCCUUUUUUCUAGAGACUAUCUGACAUUCUUCUCUGCCCAGUGUUUUGCAUAUACUCAGUCCUCAUUAACUCUGGUCCUUGAAGUGGCUUAGCCCAUGUUUAAAACUCUGCUGUAGUUUCUCAUCUUACUUUGAUUAGAGUGAUAACAGGCAAUACAGCUCUAUCCCCUCUCCUACCUUAUCUUUGUUUAUUCUCCUUUCUGUUUAUUUUUGGCCACACAGGCCUGCCUUCAGUUCUCUUGACUCAGACACCUCAGAGCCUUUGUGUCUGUGUUCCCUCUAACUGGAAAACUUUUCUCCCCAAUUAGAAUAUUAACUUUGUGAGAGGGAGUUUAUCUUAUUUGCUUCUAGAGAGACAGCACCUACAGAAACAGCACCUAGUCCUGACCCUGGCAUUUAUUAGGUAUAAGAAGUGUUUAUUAAUUGAAAAAAAAAAAUUGAAAGAAAGAAAUGGUACUCACAAGAGAAGAGAAAAAGUUGGGAACAUAGGCCAGAGUUUUUGAUUCCCUAGUCCAAUCCAGUGCCAUAAAUGAUGCUUUCACAGAACCAUUGCUGAGCUAGGGAUAGGGCUGUUUCAAGGCAGUAUCUUGGGAAAAUAAUGAAUACUCUAAAUUCAUUUGGUUCAUUUAGAGAUAGAUGAAAAAGGCCUUGAAAAAUAUUUAGACCCUUUUGGAGAAAUUAGAAGGACAGGUGCUAUCUCCAGGGUUACCUUUAGACAUUGUGACUGAGGGAGAUUUGAACAUUCUUGCAGUAGCCUGUAAACAUACCUGUCCUAGAUGUGGGAAGAAGUAAGGUACUUUUUCUUAAGGCUAUGAAAGUAGCCACAACCUGCCUAUCAUUUGAUAGAUACUUUCUCCCUACUGUACAAAUAUCCCUAACAUUUAAAUAUAAUAUAUCUUAACAUUUAGAAUAGAUAAAAAAUGGCGUUCUUUCAGGUAACAUUGCUAGAUUUUGUUAGAUCCAGAUAUUUCUUCUAACAGCUUUAGCAAUUCAGUGUGUUAGAGCAUCAGUCAGUUGCUUGGAAAGUUAUUAUUGCACAAUUCUUUCAAGAGAGAGAUGAGGAUAAAUCGUCUGGUUUCUCAACAACUGGGUUUCAUAUAUGGUGUCCUCCUUUGAGACACGUUCCCAUGGAUUCUUUGGUUAGCCAUUGACCCCUUGAGAUUUGAAUUCACUUCUACUUCACUUCGGAGCCUGAUGUUUCAGGAAAUGGGGUUUUCUUUUUUUUUUUUUUUUAAUUGUAGAUGGACACAAUGCCUUUAUUUUAUUUAUUUAUUUUUAUAUGGUGCUGAGGAUCAAACCCAGUGCCUCACACAUGCUAUAGGCAAGUGCUCUGCCACUGAGCUAUGGCCCCAGCCUAGGAAUGGGGUUUUCUGAAUUAACGUGUAGGUUGAGUUAUAGACUACUUGGUUACUAAUAACAGUAAACAUUUUUGUUCAUUUUGAAGAUUAAGGCCAUCAGUCAAAAUGAUCAAGUUUUGGUGGUAUUUCCCUGCUUAAUUACACAGUAGCUUGGCUCAGAGGUAAGACUUCCAAAUAAAGAAUCUUAAGAUAGUGUGCAGCUAUUUCUUUGCCUUGUCCUCCUUCCCCAACCUUGAUUAGUUGGUAAUUUUUGAGGAAUCUGCUUUAUUCCGGAUUAUACAGUUUCUUCUUUUGGAGUUGGGCCUGGGGUAAGGAAUGUGCUUCAACUGUUGUAGAAUGAGAAUUGUGGUGUCCUCUGUUACAAAGUUAGAGCAUGUGUUUGUUUCUUUGAAAUACAGUCAGGUAUCACUGAAAAACUGGGGCACAUUCCAAGACCUGCGUAGUUAGUCAAUUUUAUCAUUAUGCAAACAUCACAGAGUGUACUCAACAGACUAAGAUGGCCAUAAUGUUACUAGAUGAUGUAGUCUUUUUUUUUUUUUUUUUUUAGUUGUAGACAUAAUGCCUUUGUUUUAUUUAUUUAUUUUUAUGUGGUACUAAGGAGUGAACCCAGUACCUCACACAUUCUAGGUGAACACUCUACCACUGAGCCACAACCCCAGCCCUCAAUGAUAUGGUCUUAUGGUACUACUAUUGUAUGUGCAGUCCAUCAUUAUGUGGCAUAUGGCUAUACUUCAACUUUGGUAUUAUUUUGUCUUGAAAAGAAGUGUAAUCCCAGAUAUUGGGAGACUGAGGCAGGAGGAUUGUAAUUAGUUCAAGGCCAACCUGGCAACUUAGACCCUGUCACAAAAUAAAAAAGGCUGGGGAUCUCUCUCAGUGGUAGAGUACCCUUGAGUUCAAUCCCCCAGUCCCCUGUAGUACUGCAUAAAAAAGAAAAGAAAGGAUGGAGGGCAGGAUGAAGGGAAGAAGAGAGAAGUAAUUCAGAGUCAAAAACUUUGAAGGCUCCGGAGAUCCUCUUUUUAUUAUACAUUUGGCCUUCCAUUGCCUGAAGAGGCAGGUAGUCACCACAGCGAGUACUGACUCUCCAGAAUCUGCAGUUUCAGCUCUCCAGCUAACCUAAGUAGCCAGUUCUCUGCUUAAUAUCUCACUGUUUGUACAAUGAUUGACAUCACCUGCCAGUUCUGUCAUCUAAAGAGCAACUCUUCCCAGACAACUUUGAAAGUCCCUGUAACUUCUCCAAAAACUGCUUCUUCAUGGAGAUGGUCAUAUUAUUGGACUUUGGGGUGCUGAGACAAAGUUUGUAUUUCAUUUUGCCUCUAGUGAUGCUCAACUCUGAUUUUUAACUCACUUCUAACUGGUACUUUAAGGGCCAGGAUGAGAUUUCUCUCAGGCCAAAUAGAGAUUUCCAAAUUUCCCUUUGCCCAAAGUUGACCAAUUUGGAAGCUGUCUACAUGUGUUGCCUUGUUUUGAUUCUUUUCUUGUCUUGCUACCUUUUCUUUCCAGAAUUGUUUGAAAAGUCUGAGAUCCCUUGUUAAAUGGGGUGUUAUUCAGCAGCCCAAACAUGGGGUGACAUAGGUGUAGUGUGUGGUUACAUUGGCUUCUGAUUCUGAACUGUAAUUGGCUGCAGACAAGCUUCUCUAUUCAUGAAGGAGUUCAAUGAGAAGAUUGUUGGACACAGCCUGGAACCAAUUCUGAGAAGAAAACCGCUGAGUUACUAAAAGACUUAUUGGACCACCCCCAAACAGAGGAUGUGCCCAGAGUCCACUGCCUUUUUAUCAGAAAUGAGCCUGUACUGCUGCAAAGCUGCCCCAGAGUCUCUUUCACUGAACAAUUGAUAGAAGGAAAGUCCUUUCUGUGUUUGAGGGCAGGAUCUAUAUUUUAUGCUUUGCUAUAUACCCUGCAACACUCAACAUUGAUUUACCCAUAGUAGUAGUUCAUGUAAUACUGCUGAACUCUCUAAAGACUGUCUGUUCUAGGGCUUAGCUGGGCUUAUGAAGGACAAUGGAGUCAUCUCCUGAGAUGAUACAGUGAAGGCCAAUAAAAAGUGAAUAAUAAUAACAAAUUGCUGGUCACAGUACCUUGAAUGUAGAUCUAUAUCCUUUCUGCUAUUCCUCGUCUAUGCCAGUCUUGACAAUUUCUUUGCCUCUACUCUCUACUCAGAUGCCAUCCAUCAUUCAUGUUCAGACUUAAGGCCCAGCUCUUCCCUGGGGACCUCAAGCAUCCUAGGGCAUUGUGAUCCCUCCAAGUUGCUGGCAUACUUACUGGUUGGCUUCCUCUCGCUUGACAGUGUAGGCUACUGUGGCAUAUGGCUAUACUUCAACUUUGGUAUGAUUUUGUCAUAUCUCUAGGUCUUGCCUUCCUAGGGAGACUGUGAACCCCUUGAUGGUAAGAAUUUUCUCCCUGUAGUUCAGCUCCAGGGCCUGGCACAUGGUCCUUAGUGAUUGGUUAUUGAAGAUAAUAAAGGUAAAUGAUGUCCCCACUCAUCUGUUGCAGUGAUAACCUGUCCUUAUUUUAUGUAUUUUCUCUUUCUCUUUUCUUUCUUGCUCAGUCUCAUUCAUUUUAUAUUAGAUACAUAAAAAAUGUCAGUUCUCUCACUCUCCUGUACCAUUUUCUCCUGAACUAUUGUCUGGGCCUUAAUCCACCAGCAACUCCCUCACAUGUUGUUUAAUCUGCCUUGGUGGGUAGAACUCCCCUUCCUGUCCCUUUGCCACCAAGAGACUCCCAGCCCUUAUGUACAGGGCUGGAUGGUGGAGGCUGAAUGCAGGAAACAGUGGUAAGAAACGGACUCAAGUGUCCCUCUCUUAGCCUGUCUUCCCAACUCUUCCUUCUCUUUUUCCUCUCCCCUGGGUCUUACACUCCAUUGUCUGCAUGUACUUUAUAGUUGAAAAGACUCACAAGUCAUGUUUUUGAUAAAGCUUCCCCUUUAGAUGCCCCUGCAGGAAACAUGUUAUCUUUAUAUUCUGGUCCUUAGUGUGGAAGACCCUAUCUUCCUAUGCUGUUUACAAGAGGAUGGGAUUAAGAUGUACCUUUCUUUUUUUUUUUAAUAUUUAUUUUUUAGUUUUAGGUGGACACAAUAUAUUUAUUUGUUUUUUAAAUACCUUUAUUUUAUUUAUUUAUGUGGUGCUAAGGAUCAAACCCAGUGCCCCAUGCAUACAAGGCAAGUACUCUACCACUGAGCUAUAACCCCAGCCAAGAUACACCUUUCUAAUAAGAUACUUUUAAGGGCACUCUGGUCUAGCCCAAGGACACCACAGCAGGGUGUUGGCAGCAGGGGUCUGGGAAACAGAGCAGGCUUGUGUUACUUCAGAGGUAGGCAACACAAAUAAAGUGAAGAACAGCUCUGUGAGGCAGAGUGCUUUGGCCCUAGCAGUAUGCUUCUGAAGGCCCAAAGUGGCCUUCCUCACCAAAUCAGUGAGAGGAGAAACCUCCCAGUGUUAGGAAGGACCCUGUAGGCUCACAUUUCUCAGGAUAGUAGCUGAGUCCAUCUGGAUGGUACUCCUGGUUCUGAGCCUAUUGAUGGGUUGGAAGCUUCUGUCAGAAGGCGAUUUAACUCAGACCGUUCCACAUGUCCUACAGCUGAUUUAACAACUCAUGUUCAUUUAAUGAGACUUGGGUGGGUGCAGAAUCCAAUAGUAAUACAAAAUGUAUCUGUAGUCUAUGUUAAGUCAUGGUUGAAUUGCAGCCACAGGUUCCCUACGGAUACAAGAGUUGGCACAUAUAUAAUCAACAAAAGUAAUUCCAAACAUUGGAGUGUAUUAUUAUUCUAUAAUUACAAUAAAGAACAUUGCGUAUGGUAUUUCUGUGUUUAAUUUUU